rnacentral:rRNA from 1 species
GAUGAACGCUGGCGGCGUGCCUAAUACAUGCAAGUCGAGCGAACAGACGAGGAGCUUGCUCCUCUGACGUUAGCGGCGGACGGGUGAGUAACACGAGGAUAACCUACCUAUAAGACUGGGAUAACUUCGGGAAACCGGAGCUAAUACCGGAUAAUAUAUUGAACCGCAUGGUUCAAUAGUGAAAGACGGUUUUGCUGUCACUUAUAGAUGGAUCCGCGCCGCAUUAGCUAGUUGGUAAGGUAACAGCUUACCAAGGCAACGAUGCGUAGCCGACCUGAGAGGGUGAUCGGCCACACUGGAACUGAGACACGGUCCAGACUCCUACGGGAGGCAGCAGUAGGGAAUCUUCCGCAAUGGGCGAAAGCCUGACGGAGCAACGCCGCGUGAGUGAUGAAGGUCUUCGGAUCGUAAAACUCUGUUAUUAGGGAAGAACAAAUGUGUAAGUAACUAUGCACGUCUUGACGGUACCUAAUCAGAAAGCCACGGCUAACUACGUG